GUGCUUGUUUCAGCAGCACAUACACUAAAAUUGAAAUGCAGAGAUUAACAUGGCCUCUGUGCAAGGAUGACACCAAAUUUGUGAAGUGCUCCAUAUUAAA
rnacentral:snRNA from 1 species